rnacentral:rRNA from 1 species
GAUGAACGCUGGCGGCGUGCCUAAUACAUGCAAGUCGAGCGAUCAGACGAGGAGCUUGCUCCUCUGACUUUAGCUGCGCACGGGUGUGUAACACGUGGGUAACCUACCUAGAAGACUAGGAUCACUUCAGGAAACCGUAGCUACUGCAGGAUAAGAUUUAUAACCUCAUGGUUCUUUAUAAGAAAUCUGAUUUAUUUUCAAGUAUAGCUGGAUCCACGCCGCAUUAGCUAGUUGGUAAUGUAACGGCUUACCAAGGCAACGAUGCGUAGCCGACCUGAGAGCGUGAUCGGCCACACUGGAACUGAGACACGGUCCAGACUCCUAAGGGAGGCAGCAGUAGGGACUCUUCCGCAAUGGGGGAGAGCCUGACGGAGCAACGCCGCGUGAGUGAUGAAGGUCUUCGGAUCGUAAAACUCUGUUAUUAGGGAAGAACAAAUGUGUAAGUAACUAUGCACGUCUUGACGGUACCUAAUCAGAAAGCCACGGCUAACUACGUG